AAUGAACGCUGGCGGCAUGCCUAACACAUGCAAGUCGAACGAAGCCUUCGGGUUUAGUGGCGCACGGGUGCGUAACGCGUGGGAAUCUGCCCCUUGGUUCGGAAUAACAGUUGGAAACGACUGCUAAUACCGGAUGACGACGAAAGUCCAAAGAUUUAUCGCCGAGGGAUGAGCCCGCGUAGGAUUAGGUAGUUGGUGUGGUAAAGGCGCACCAAGCCGACGAUCCUUAGCUGGUCUGAGAGGAUGAUCAGCCACACUGGGACUGAGACACGGCCCAGACUCCUACGGGAGGCAGCAGUGGGGAAUAUUGGACAAUGGGCGAAAGCCUGAUCCAGCAAUGCCGCGUGAGUGAUGAAGGCCUUAGGGUUGUAAAGCUCUUUUACCCGGGAUGAUAAUGACAGUACCGGGAGAAUAAGCUCCGGCUAACUCCGUGCCAGCAGCCGCGGUAAUACGGAGGGAGCUAGCGUUAUUCGGAAUUACUGGGCGUAAAGCGCACGUAGGCGGCUUUGUAAGUAAGAGGUGAAAGCCCAGAGCUCAACUCUGGAAUUGCCUUUUAGACUGCAUCGCUUGAAUCAUGGAGAGGUCAGUGGAAUUCCGAGUGUAGAGGUGAAAUUCGUAGAUAUUCGGAAGAACACCAGUGGCGAAGGCGGCUGACUGGACAUGUAUUGACGCU
rnacentral:rRNA from 1 species